rnacentral:rRNA from 1 species
UACGUAGGGGGCUAGCGUUGUCCGGAAUCAUUGGGCGUAAAGAGCGUGUAGGCGGCCCGGUAAGUCCGCUGUGAAAGUCGGGGGCUCAACCCUCGAAUGCCGGUGGAUACUGUCGGGCUAGAGUGCGGAAGAGGCGAGUGGAAUUCCUGGUGUAGCGGUGAAAUGCGUAGAUAUCGGGAGGAACACCUGUGGCGAAAGCGGCUUACUAGACGACAACUGACGCUGAGGCGCGAAAGCUAGGGGAGCAAACAGG